CCUUGAUGAAAUUUGAGCAGUUACACAAAAUCUCAGCAUGAUUAAUUAUCAGUAAUGUUGUAGCUGGACAAUUAGUGCCAAGAUGUUAAAAAUUAUUCAGUGCUUUCUUAUGUUCACAGUAAAUAAUUUGUCCAUCACAGGAAUAACUCACUCAUAGAUUCAAGACGGAUUCAACAAAGAUAUCUAGUCCACAGUAUAUCGAUGACUUUCAAAAUAACCACAUAAAAUAGCAACAAACUUUCGACAGCUUUUUUUCCCUCUAAUUUGUACAAAUAUACCUACUAUAUGCCAGUUAGCAGAAUUAAUUUAUUGAGAUUUAAUUAAUUUGUUAGUUUAUUUGCAUGUUGGUUGUCACAUACACAACAUGAG